UCCCAGGCUGCUCCAAGCCCUGUCCAACCUGUCCUGGGACAAUUCCAGGGGCAGCCACAGCUUCUCUGGGAUAUAGUUCUGUACAUAUGGAUCACCACGGCACGUCAGGAUCCACCCAGGCAGCGAGCUGAAAGCAGGGAAUUCACUUGCUCUUUAAAUGCAGACGACGUUAUUAAAGCCAAAACGACUAAAAAUGACUAAAAGCAGGAGAAGAGAGGCAUUAAAAUGGAAACGAAUCUCCGCCAGCGCUUUGAUACGAGGAUAAAAGCGGGAUUUUGAUUGCGGCUCUCCCAGCGGUAUCCGCCACCAACACGGAAACCUCUGGGGCCCGGAGCCUUUGGAAGUGCUCCUGGCACACGGGGAAUGUGUGGAUUCAGGCCAGGGAGAGGCUGGGCCUUUGUGUUUAUUCAGGAAAUUAAUGAGGCUGUUGGAGAGGAUGAUGAGGCCCUGGUUGCCCAGAGCAGCUGUGGCUGCCCCUGGAUCCCUGGAAGUGUCUGUGGCCAGACUGAAUAUAAAAAUACAGAUAAAAACCAAGAAACAGUAGAAGAACCAAGAAACAAGAAGGAAAUUCAGCACUGAAGAUGAGAAAGCAGAAAAAGCUUCAAUAAAAAGGUUUCCUCUUUCCAGUAAUAUAAA